GACGAACGCUGGCGGCGUGCUUAACACAUGCAAGUCGAACGGAAAGGCCUCUUUCGGGGGGUACUCGCGUGGCGAACGGGUGAGUAACACGUGAGUAACCUGCCCUUGACUUUGGGAUAACUUCAGGAAACUGGGGCUAAUACCGGAUAGGAGCUCCUGCUGCAUGGUGGGGGUUGGGAAGAUUCGGGGGGUGGGGAUGGAUUCGCGGCUUAUCUGCUCGUUGGGGGGGGAGUGGGUUACCAAGGCUUUUUCGGGUAGCCGGCCUGAGAGGGUGACCGGCCACAUUGGGGCUGAGAUACGGCCCAGACACCUACGGGAGGCAGCGGGGGGGAAUAUUGCACAAUGGGUGGAGGCCUGAUGCAGCAACGCCGUGGGCGGGAUGACGGGCUUCGGGGUGGAAACCGCUUUUGCUCAUGACGAAGCUUUGUGUGACGGUAGUGGGUAAAGAAGCACCGGCUAACUACGUG
rnacentral:rRNA from 1 species